CGGGCCCGCGGUGCGGCGCGGCAACGUCAGCGCGUUCGUCUGCCUUAGAGCGGAGCUCCGUGAGACAUCAGGCAUUUGGCAACCCGUCAGCGGCAGCCGACUUGAAGACGCUUCCUGUUUAUGGUAACAGAAACGCUUACGCAAUUCUACGCUCGAAGGCAGAACAACUCACUGUUUUUGAGCUACCUGGCGAUUAAAAACCAUGUCUUUGGGGUUUUCUCUAGCAGGGAGGAAGACGGCGGCGGCAGCUCAGCGGGAGGGCGCGCUGGGUGCGCGGGCGCGUCGUGACGUGACAGGUGCCAUCUUCCCGGCGGCGCGUGGCCCGCGGCGCCCGCCGCAGCGCGCGGCCCGCUGACGGCGGCAGCACGGCGCAGACGCCAUUUUGCUCUGAUAAUCCCGGCUGAUCGGAUUUGCCUGUGGCUUGGGAAGCAGGCGCUGAUUCCGGCGCUCCGGCUUCCCGUCCUCGGCCGCUAACUGCUGCCUUCGUUUUCGUGCCCCUCUUUUACAGCGAAUCCUUCGUGCUUAAUUACCGCAGCCAGCUGGGAUAUGUAGCGUAGCAGCCAAGCUGUUUAUAUGCAAGGAAUGUAAAUUCAGAAAGAUGAGGAAAUGCAGCGUUCCUUAUAUCCAACCCCUUGCUCCAUGGCUGUCAAUGCAGUUUUGUCCACAUCAUUUAGAAUUCCUCUUAAACCUAGCAAAGGACUUUGAUUGCUUUACUCUCCUUCAAAGCCUCUCUCGUGAAAAAAAGAAACAUUUCUGGAGACACAUAGGUCCGGGCAUAACUUCUGCAACCUCCCAUUAAAAAAGAGGAAAUAUUUCCUUGGAAAAAUAUAAUCUGAAAUAAAUUGCAUUUGGUUACUGAA